GAACGCGUGGAGCAUGUGGCUUAAUUUGACUCAACGCGGGAAAUCUUACCGGGUCCGGACACACUGAGGAUUGACAGGCAAUAUCUCAUGUUAACGGUAAGUUUACUUACCGCUUAACAUCGAGUGUUAAAUAUGCUAGUCCUUUCAUGAUUAUGUGAUAGGUGGUGCAUGGCCGUUCUUAGUUCGUGGAGUGAUCUGUCUGCUUAAUUGCGUUUCACUAAGGGCCCAUAAAUUCAAGGUAUGUUAGCUCUCGUCGCUCUAUGGACCCCUUAACUCCAAUAUUCUUAUUGUGUUAAGCGCGUGUCUUUAUUUUAAGAGUUUUAAGACACUGCGCAUGCUGUUGGGCUCUGAAAGCAACGAACGUGACCGCAACGUCUUGUUGCCUUAAACUAGCGUAUAUUGCAAUUUAUUGUAAUAUCGCUUACAGAGGCUAUUUAAAACUAGACGGACCGCUGUUUCUUUCUUAAACCA
rnacentral:rRNA from 1 species